AACGAACGCUGGCGGCGUGCUUAACACAUGCAAGUCGCACGAGAACGCUUCAGCUUGCUGAGGCAAGUAAAGUGGCGCACGGGUGAGUAACGCGUGGGUAAUCAACCUCUGAAUUGGGGAUAACAUUGCGAAAGCGGUGCUAAUACCGAAUAACAUCACCAGGACUCCGGCCCUGGUGACCAAAGGUGGCCUCUACAUGUAAGCUACUGUUUAGAGAUGAGCCCGCGUACCAUUAGCUUGUUGGUAGGGUAACGGCCUACCAAGGCUGCGAUGGUUAGCUGGUCUGAGAGGAUGAUCAGCCACACUGGAACUGACACACGGUCCAGACUCCUACGGGAGGCAGCAGUGAGGAAUUUUGCGCAAUGGGGGAAACCCUGACGCAGCAACGCCGCGUGAGUGAUGAAGGCCCUCGGGUCGUAAAGCUCUGCCAAGUGGGAAGAACCUGCCCUGUGAUAAUACCACGGGGCACCGACGGUACCACUGAAGGAAGCACCGGCUAACUCCGUGCCAGCCGCCGCCGUAAGAC
rnacentral:rRNA from 1 species